CUUGAGUCCUGGAUGAACACGUUUUGGGUGGGAAUCGGUUAUUUGAAAGAAUUGUGGUUACAGCAUAAUCUGAUGUUUUGGGGUCUGCAAGUUUGCUGGCCACAGCCCUCGGUGGCAACCUUACUGACGUCAUUGACUGGAUGCUGUUGAAGUUGAUCCAUCAUUUCUUUACUGACAUAAGCAAGACCAACAGACAACCUGGGACAUUUCAGCGUGGAAAAAUGAAAAAUAAGUAAUCAGCGGCAGCAUUACACUGCCAAAUCAUCACUAACAAGCGUCCAUACGAAUGCUACAAAUACAGGGGGUUUUGUAAUGCAGAACUGCCAGAAAAGCAGUUGUAUUAAGCACAGUGUGACCAGCGCCUCAAUCCUUCAAAGCUUUCCCUGUUUAAAUUCCCUAAAAUGUACACAAUUAUCUCUCUUUCUGCCUAUAUUGUACCUAUCACACUAUAUUAGUUGCUUAAAUAAUCAUUUUUUUUUGUCAGACACUGCCAGGCACACUCCUUCCAGGUCAGAAGCUGAACGCAGUAUCAUACUUCUUCUCGAUCAGCAUAUGAAUCUUACUUCCUAUUGCCCCCUUAUUAGCUGAUAAGGCUGUCUUUAAGGCUCUGAGUCAAUCAGGGCAAGCCCUCCACCACACUUUCUCCCAAUGUCAUGUGAUCCUUCUUUCUCCCUUGUAGUUUUCCCCACCAAUAUUAACAGUAAAAUGGUGCUAGGUGCUAUUUUUACGCCAUUCAUUUGAAAAGAAGCGCAAAAGCUUUGGAUUUGUUUGGCAGAUGAAAAUGUGUUUAGAAUCGAUUCCCCCAUCUCUUGUUUACAUCUAAAGCACACAUAGACUACCAUAUUUUUCGCCCCAUAAGAUGCAUUUUUCCCCCCCAAAAGUGGGGGAAAAGGCCC